GAACGGUAGCACAGAGAGCUUGCUCUUGGGUGACGAGUGGCGGACGGGUGAGUAAUGUCUGGGAAACUGCCCGAUGGAGGGGGAUAACUACUGGAAACGGUAGCUAAUACCGCAUAACGUCUUCGGACCAAAGUGGGGGACCUUCGGGCCUCACACCAUCGGAUGUGCCCAGAUGGGAUUAGCUAGUAGGUGGGGUAAUGGCUCACCUAGGCGACGAUCCCUAGCUGGUCUGAGAGGAUGACCAGCCACACUGGAACUGAGACACGGUCCAGACUCCUACGGGAGGCAGCAGUGGGGAAUAUUGCACAAUGGGCGCAAGCCUGAUGCAGCCAUGCCGCGUGUAUGAAGAAGGCCUUCGGGUUGUAAAGUACUUUCAGCGAGGAGGAAGGCAUUAAGGUUAAUAACCUUAGUGAUUGACGUUACUCGCAGAAGAAGCACCGGCUAACUCCGUG
rnacentral:rRNA from 1 species